CAUACUAGCUCAUUUGGUAGAGCAACUAACUCAUAAUUAGUAGGUAACAGGUUCGAUUCCUGUGUAUUUUCCCA
rnacentral:tRNA from 1 species